GCUUAAGUAAUAUAAAUAAUGUAAAUAAAGCAAGUAAUAAGGUAAAAAACAAAGUAUCUAAUCAAGUAUAUAAUAAAUGUAUUGCAAAAAAAAAAAACAUAAUGAAAUGAUUUUACAGAAUAAAAAAGAAACAACUUUACUUAAUACAAAUGAAAAAAAAAUUGAAAAUUGAAAAAGCGAAAGUUGGUACUCCCAUUAAAAAAAAAAACAAACCAAGUCAUUCAAAGUAACAUUAAUAAUAACAUUAAUAAUAACAGUAGUAAUAACAGUAGUAAUAACAGUAGUAAUACAUUACCUAAUAAAUUUAUAACAACAAUAAAUAAACAAACUGAUGUAAAAUGUUAUACAAAAAUUAAAGAAAAUAAAGUAAAAGCAAAAAGAGCUAGUUAUGAUUAUAGUGGUCACGAGGUUAAUACUAGUGGUCAUUUAUCUGAUCUUCAAGUUACCGUUAAUAGUGGUAUUUCUAUAAAUGCCAAUGUCAGUGUCAAAUCAGUAAACAAAACUCCAACAAAUCAGCAAAACAAAACAGCGUUUAACAAAUCAAGUGUUAAUACACCAAAAAAUGCAAUAGUUAAAAAAAACACUACGUUAAAAGAAGCAAACAAAAGAACAAGUGUAAAACUAUGUACAUAUAACAAUAAUUUAAAAAAAGAAAAAAAUCAAAAAAAUCAAAAAAAUCAAAAAAAUCAAAAUAAUGAAAAUAAUGAAAAUAAUGAAAAUAAUGAAAAUAAUGAAAAAACAAAACCUAAUAUAAAAGACGUAAUAAGUAACAACCUAAACAAACAACAAAGAGUAAUAACAAACAAAAUUCUAAACACAUCUAUUAACUUCGAUGCUUCACAUGGAGUAGUACAAUCUAUAAGUAACAUUACUGAUGCUGGUAGUCACAUACUUGACAUGUAUUCACAUAAUGUCACUACUGAUGUUACUACUGGUGUUACUACUGGUGUUACUACUGGUGUUACUACUGGUGUCACUACUGGUGUCACUACUGGUGUCACUACUGGUGUGAAUAAUCAAGAGAAUUUGCAAGAUAUAAUCAAUAACCAAGUAAAAAUAUUUGAGCAACAAUUUUUAUAAAAAAGGGAAACAUAAAAAAAAAAAAAAAAAAAAAAAAAAGGGCUCUACAUGUCCAUACAGCAUGUAUGCAUAUAUAGACCGGUUAUAUAAAACGGUUAUAUAAAUAUUAUGUUUUUUUUUCCCACUCUUUUUGUCUGUCACUGUUUAUAAAAAAAAAAAAAUAAUAAUUAAAAAUAUAUACAUUUAUUCUUUUUAAAUUACACAACAUUUAUUUAUAAAACAUUCUUUUUUUGUUUUGUUUUUGUUUUUUCUAUUUUUUCUAUUUUUUCUA
rnacentral:lncRNA from 1 species